GCAAGAUACCACGGGCGCACGGCGGAUGCCUUGGCACAGGGAGCCGAUGAAGGACGCGGCAAGCUGCGAUAAUCCCCGGCGAGGAGCACACAUCCUUCGACCCGGGGGUCUCCGAAUGGGCGAACCCAUCCGUAGCAGUACGGAUAUCCCGAUCCUGAACACAUAGGGGCCGGGAGGACAACCCGGGGAACUGAAACAUCUAAGUACCCGGAGGAGAGGAAAUCAAUCUCGAGACUCCCCGAGUAGCGGCGAGCGAAAGGGGACCGAUGGCCAAACCGUCGAGCGGGCAUACCCGGCAGGGGUUCCGCCGACGGGGUUGCAGGGCCGCGCAUCCGGGGGCUGCCGCCCCCGGGCGCAGGUCCGGCUGGGGAGCGGAACGGCAUGGGAGGGCCGGCCGCAGCGGGUGACAGCCCCGUACGCGAACCCAGACCGGACGGCGCGACGCGGUCCCUGAGUAGGGCCGGGCACGUGAAACCCGGUCCGAACCUGGGUGGACCACCAUCCAAGCCUGAGUACUACCCUGUGACCGAUAGCGCACCAGUACCGUGAGGGAAAGGUGAAAAGCACCCCGGGAGGGGAGUGAAACAGUACCUGAAACCGUGCGCCCACGAGCAGUCGGAGCACCCUUGUGGUGUGACGGCGUGCCUUUUGUAGAAUGAGCCAGCGAGUCACGAUGCGCGGCGAGGUUAAGCUAUGAAGCGAGCCGCAGCGAAAGCGAGUCUUUAAGACGGCGACAUCAGUCGCGCGUCGUGGACGCGAAGCCGGGUGAGCUACCCAUGGGCAGGCUGAAGCGGGGGUAAGACCCCGUGGAGGGCCGAACCCACUUCGGUUGAAAACGGAGGGGAUGACCCGUGGGUAGGGGUGAAAGGCCAAUCAAACCCGGAGAUAUCUCGUUCUCCCCGAAAUAGCUUUAGGGCUAGCGUCGCGCGUUCACCGCCGGAGGUAGAGCACCGGAUGGACGAGGGGGCUUCGCCGCCUACCGAAUCCAACCGAACUCCGAAUGCCGGCGGCCCAGAGCGCGGCAGUCAGAGCAUGUGGGCUAAGCUGUGUGCUCGAGAGGGAAACAGCCCGGACCGCCCGCUAAGGUCCCCAAGUUCCAGCCGAGUGGCAAAGGAUGUGCGUCCGCCCAGACAACCAGGAUGUUGGCUUAGAAGCAGCCAUACAUUCAAAGAGUGCGUAACAGCUCACUGGUCGAGUGGACAUGCGCCGACAAUACACGGGGCUAAGCUGGACACCGAAGCGGCGGGAUUUUAUCUAUAUAGAAUCGGUAGGGGAGCUUCCCAUGGGCGGUGAAGCCGCCGGGCGACCGGCGGUGGAGCGCAUGGGAGUGAGAAUGCUGGCAUGAGUAGCGAGAGACGAGAGAGUAACUCGUCCGCCGUGAACCCGAGGUUUCCUGGGCAAGGCUAAUCCUCCCAGGGUCAGUCGGGGGCUAAGGCGAGGCCGGGAGGCGUAGCCGACGCGCAGCAGGCAGACAUUCCUGCACCGCGCACGCGGCGCUACGACCGACGGGGCGACGGAUGGGGGUGGCUCGGCGGGGUUCUGGACGUCCCCGUGAUGGAGCGCGGCCCGCGGACCAGGGAAAUCCGGUCCGCACGAGGGCGAGGCUCCGGACGAAGCGAUCAAGCGAAGCGAGUGAGCCCGAGGUCCCUAGAAAAACCCCUAGGCAGGCGCGUGCGCGCCCGUACCGCAAACCGACACAGGUGGGUGGGUAGAACAUACCGAGGCGAUCGGGUCAACCAUGGUCAAGGAACUCGGCACAAUGGCCCCGUAACUUCGGGAGAAGGGGUGCCCGCGCGUACGUGAACCGGCUUGCCCGGGGAGCGGAGGCGGGCCGCAGUGGAGAGGCCCAAGCGACUGUUUACCAAAAACACAGGACUCUGCAGAAGCCGCAAGGCGACGUAUAGGGUCUGACGCCUGCCCGGUGCCGGAAGGUCACGCGGAGGAGUUAGCGCAUCGCGCGAAGCCCCGAAGCCAAGCCCCGGUAAACGGCGGCCGUAACUAUAACGGUCCUAAGGUAGCGAAAUUCCUUGUCGGGUAAGUUCCGACCUGC
rnacentral:rRNA from 1 species